UUGGGACAUGGACAGACGGGCAUCUGACUGGUCUCCUCAUUUCAGGGGGCACCCCUAUCCCUCUGUCUGUCUUUGUGACUCCGUCUCAUGGGAACAUUAUGAGGUCGGGACAGAGCACACCCACAGUUCUUGAGACUAUGAUCAAGAACUUCAAGAAGGAGCUUUUGGGAGACAAUGGAAUUAAGACGACCCCCCGCAAGUUAAGGCCCCUAUGCACUGACCACUCAGAAUAGUCUACAUUUACCCAUCUCUCCAGCAGAAAGGUGUCGCUAUGUGACUAAUUUUCACCAAUAGAAUAUGAGCAAAAGUGGUACGUGUAACUUUCAGUAAGUAUCCUUAAAGGGAAGGAGAUGUGUUCUUUUCUUCCUCCUUUCUGAUGGAUGGAAUGUGAAUGAAACAGCUGGAGCUCCAGUAACUAUCUUAGACUAUAAAGUGACUUCAGAAAAGAACAGAACCCAUGCAGAGAAGUGCAACAACGUGACACCAUGACAGACAGACCAUACCAGUCGUAGACUACUUUGGGAAUUCCUGACGUUGAGCGAAAUACACUUCUAUGAUGUUUAAAUCUC